UUCGCAAUGCCCGAAAGGGUGACGAAGCGACGCCGCGUGUGGGAAGAAGGCCUUCGGGUUGUAAACCACUGUCGGGAGUUAAGAAAUGCAAGGGUGCUAAUAGUAUCCUUGCUUGACUAAGGCUCCGGAGGAAGCCACGGCUAACUCUGUGCCAGCAGCCGCGGUAAUACAGAGGCGGCAAGCGUUGUUCGGAAUUAUUGGGCGUAAAGAGCACGUAGGCGGCUAUGUAAGUCGGUUGUGAAAGCCUUCCGCUCAACGGAAGAACAGCAUCCGAUACUGCAUGGCUUGAGUGCGGGAGGGAGAGUGGAACUUCUGGUGGAGCGGUGAAAUGCGUAGAUAUCAAGGGGAACGCCGGCGGCGCAAGCGGCUCUCUGGACUGCUACUGACGCUGAGGUGCGAGAGCUAGGGGAGCAAAAAGGAUUAGAUACCCUUGUAGUCCUAGCUGUAAACGAUGGGCACUAAGUAGAGGGGUUUU
rnacentral:rRNA from 1 species